AGAGUUUGAUCCUGGCUCAGAUUGAACGCUGGCGGCAUGCCUAACACAUGCAAGUCGAACGGGUUGUAGCAAUACAACUAGUGGCGGACGGGUGAGGAAUACAUAGGAAUUUGCCUUUAGGUGGGGGAUAGCCCGGGGAAACUCGGAGUAAUACCGCACGAUGUCGCAAGACCAAAGCCGGGGAUCGCAAGACCUGGCGCCUUUAGAGAAGCCUAUGUCUGAUUAGCUAGUUGGUAGGGUAAUGGCCUACCAAGGCGACGAUCAGUAACUGGUCUGAGAGGACGAUCAGUCACACCGGAACUGAGACACGGUCCGGACUCCUACGGGAGGCAGCAGUGGGGAAUAUUGGACAAUGGGCGAAAGCCUGAUCCAGCAAUGCCGCGUGUGUGAAGAAGGCCUUCGGGUUGUAAAGCACUUUGAUCUGGGAAGAAAAAGCUUCAGCUAAUACCUGAAGCCUUGACGGUACCAGAGGAACAAGCACCGGCUAACUCUGUGCCAGCAGCCGCGGUAAUACAGAGGGUGCUAGCGUUAAUCGGAUUUACUGGGCGUAAAGCGUGUGUAGGCGGNUCGUUAAGUCGGAUGUGAAAGCCCUGGGCUCAACCUGGGAAUUGCACUCGAUACUGGCGGGCUAGAGUACCGUAGAGGGCGGCGGAAUUNCCGGUGUAGCGGUGAAAUGCGUANAUAUUCCGAGGAACA
rnacentral:rRNA from 1 species